UAGGGAAGGACUAUCAGGUGAGGGCGGGGCUAGGUGUGUCUGAGUUCAGCCUCUCCUUGGGCAGGUCUUGCCGCGGCUGCUGGGAGGGAUGGGGGUGAGAUUCCCAGGUCAUUGGAGUUGUGUAUCUAGGAGGAUGAUUGCUGCCUCUGCUGAGUCAUGCAGGUUGUCAGGAAAGUUGAGGAAAGUCGGCAGUCACAGGCCUCACCCAGUUCCCACGCAAUCUGAAGGGCCGGUCUCACUCCCAUUGUGCCCCAUCAAUAGCCCCCAGACCAUUUCCAGCUGGAGAGCGAUACAGGCUUGAAAACAUACCCCAGGCUAUCUGCCUCCCAGCUGUGAAAGAAAAGGGCUUGGUUCUUUCCCUGCCUAAGGAGUCUGCACACCGGAUUUACAUCCUCCCCCGAGUGCUGGCCAGAAGGCUUCUCACCUGUUCAAAUUGUUACGAAGUUCAGUUAGAGAUUUGCUUCUCCCUGUGUAGUUUUACCCCCUGCUCCUCUCCCGUUGGAUCCCUGUAUUGCCAGGCAGGAAUGGCCUGCUACAGGACCCCGCGAGCUCCCAGGGCCUUUCUGCUGCUUUCUGUACCCCUGUAUUUCACUCGGCUCUCCAAAUGGACUCAGCUCCAGGGAUUUCACCCUUCCUUAACUAUAAAAAGAAGACUUCUUGGGCCAGGCCGGUGGCUCACGCCUGUAGUCCCAGCACUUUGGGAAGCCGAGGCGGAUGGAUCACGAGGUCAGGAGAUCGAGACCAGACUGGCCAACAUGGUGAAACCCCGUCUCUAACAAAAAUAGAAAAAUCAGCUGGGCAUGGUGGUGCAUGCCUGUAGUCCCAGCUACUUGGGAAGCUGAGGCAGGAGAAUUGCUUGAACCUGGGAGGUGGAGGUUGCAGUAAACCGAGAUCGUGCCACUGCACUCCAGCCUGGUGACAGAGCAAGAGUCCGUCUGAAAAAAAAAAAAGACUUCUUAAUAAAAAACAGGCAUACCUCAUUUUACUGCACUUCACUUUUUUUGUGCUUCACAGAUAUUGCUUUUUUUUUUUUUUUUUUUUUUUUUUACAAAUGGAAGGUUUGUGUGGUAACCCUUCAUUCAGCAAGUCCAUUGGUGCCAUUUAUCCAAGAGCAUGUGCUCACCUUGCGUCUCUAUGUUACAUUUUGGUAAUUCUUACAAUAUUUAAAAAUUUUCACUAUGAUUAUAUCUGUGAUGGUGGUCUGUGAUCAGUGAUCUUUGAUGUUCCUAUUGUAAUUGUUUUAGGGCACCACCAACUGCAUUCAUAUAGGACGGUGCACUUAAUUGGUAAAUACUGUGUGUAUUCUAACUGCUCCACCAAUCAGGUGUUGCCUCAUCUUUCUCCUGCUCCUUGGACUCUCAAUUCCCUCAGACACAACAGUGUUGAAAUUAGACCAAUUAAUAUCCCUACAAUGGCCUCUAAGUGUUGAAGUGAAAGAAAGAGUUUCAUGUUUCUCACUUUAAAUAAAAAGCUAGAUAUGAUUAAGCUUAGUGAGUGUAUUAGUCUGUUCUCAUGUUGCUAAUAGAGACAUACCUGAGACUGGGUAAUUUAUAAAGAAAAGAGGUUUAAUGGACUCACCACUCCACAU
rnacentral:lncRNA from 1 species